AAAGAGUUAGUUAAAUGAAUAAUACAAAUUUGUCAAAUUUGAGUUACUGUGAAGUACUUUUUA
rnacentral:tRNA from 1 species